GGGUGCAAUCAUACCAACACUAAUGUACCGGAUCCCGUCGGAACUCAGCAGUUAAGCGUGUUUGGGCAAGAGUUGUACUAGGAUGGGUAACCUCCUGGGAAGUCCUCGUGUUACACCUA